rnacentral:rRNA from 1 species
AUUGAACGCUGGCGGCAGGCUUAACACAUGCAAGUCGAGCGGAGACUUCGGUCUUAGCGGCGAACGGGUGAGGAAUGCCUGGGAAUCUGCCUGUUAGUGGGGGAUAACGAAUCGAAAGGUUCGCUAAUACCGCAUACGUCCUACGGGAGAAAGCAGGGGACCUUCGGGCCUUGCGCUAACAGAUGAGCCCAGGUCGGAUUAGCUAGUAGGUGGGGUAAAGGCUCACCAAGCCAAAGAUGGGUAGCUGGUCUGAGAGGACGAUCAGCCACACUGGAACUGAGACACGGUCCAGACUCCUACGGGAGGCAGCAGAGGGGAAUCUUGCGCAAUGGACGAAAGUCUGACGCAGCCAUGCCGCGUGAGUGAUGAAGGCCCUCGGGUCGUAAAGCUCUGUCCAAGGGGACGAAAAAGUCAUUGGCGAAUAACCGGUGGCCCUGACGGUACCCUUGAAGAAAGCACCGGCUAACUCCGUG